UUUUUCUUGGUCCUGGUCGAGUAAAAACCCAGAAAAAUACCCCAAGAUAGGCUAGAAAAGACCCAAAAAACCCAGUAAAAAAAACCCAAGAUGGGCAACAAAAAAACCCCACAAAAACCCAGGGAAAAAAACUCAAGAUGGGCAAGAAAAAAAUCAAUAAAAAAACCAGAACAAUCCCAGGAAAAAACCUCAAAAUGGGCAAGAGCAAACCCAGAAAAAAAGCCUAAAAAACCCCAAGAUGGGCAAGAAAAACCCAGGAAAAAAAACAAGAAAAAAACCCCAAGAAGGGCAAGAAAAACCCAGAAAAAAACCCCAAGAUGGGCAACAAAAAAACCCAAAAAACCCCACAAGAUGGGCAAGAAAAAAAUCAACAAAAAACGCAGGAAAAUCCCAGAAAAAAACCCCCAGGAUGGGCAAGAAAAAUCUCAGAAAAAAACCCAAGAUGGACCAGAAAAAACACAAAAAAACCAAGAAAAAAACCCCGGAAAAAUAAAAACGGAAAAAAAAACCCCAAGCUGGGCAAGAAAAAUCCAGAAAAGAACCCAGAAAAAAAAGCCCAAGAUUGGCAAGAAAAACACCCAGACAAAAAACUCCAAGAUGGGCAAGAAAAAAUCAACGAAAAACCCAGAAAAAUCACAGAAAAAACCCCCAAGAUGGGCAAGAAAAAAACCAGAAAACUGCCACAGAAAACCCAGGAAAAAAAACCAAGAUGGGGAAGAAGAAACCCAGAAAAAAAACCCCCAAGACUGGCAAGAAAAAAACCAGAUAAAACCCCAAGAUGGGCAAGAAAAACCUGUCGUAAAUACGGCCGUAAAGCGCGACUGUCGUAAAUACGGCACCUUUUACGGCCGUGUUUACGACAGUCGCUCUUUGAGGAAUGGAGUGAGGAAUGGAAUUUGUGCAAGGAGCAGCACAGGAUCACAGAGCACCAAGGCUUAUUCUGUAAGGCCCUACAGGAGCCAAAUCCCAGGUAAAGCCAUUCCCUAGGGCAGUCCUCCCUCAGAUAAAUAGGAGUGAUUUCCACAGUAU
rnacentral:lncRNA from 1 species